rnacentral:tRNA from 1 species
GCGCCUGUCGUAUAAUGGUUAUUAUACGAGCUUCCCAAGCUUGUGACGUGGGUUCGAUUCCCAUCAGGCGCU